UUACAUUCCGAACCCGGAAGUUAAGCCUUCCAGCGCCGAUGGUACUGCACUGGGGACGGUGUGGGAGAGUAGGACGCCGCCGGAC
rnacentral:rRNA from 1 species